AAAAACUCAGCUGGACAGGUCGCAUAGGAAACUCAACCAGUUAGACCUCUUUAAGUAGUGGUUGGAGUAGAUGUCCAGAGGUGCCUUCCAGUUUAACUUAUUCUAUGGGUUUGUGAAUCUAUGUAGUUAGGUGACAUAAAUAUGUUAAUCAGGAAACUGUUAUAUGAUUUAUAUACAGUGACAUUCUUUACUUAUCAAGAGAAGUUAUGCAAUUUAAUAACCCAUGGAGGAGACCAACUGAAUUCUAUAGAUGCUGAAGGAAGAUGGGGAGCCAGAAGAAAAGGAAGAAUGAUUUCUUUAGUAAGCUUCAGUGAGAGCCCACCUUAAAGCAUGUAAGGAAGCUAUGAACUUGCUGGGCGUAGACCUCAGAGGAGAAACAAGGGCAAGCCAUGAAAGCAUGCUAAGUGAGACAAAAGAAAUGUGAAAGUGCUUGAGAUGGUUUAUGGCAAAGGGAGCUUGAUGAGCUUGAUGAGCUUGAUGAGAGGCUGCUGCAAAAAGAAGCAGAUAGUUUCUUCUCUGUGUUGUGUUCAUAAUGGAGAAAGCAAGAGACAGGGAUUUAAACUGAAGCUGAUUUAAGUCAGGUAGCAGCAGAUAGCUUGAACAAGGUUCAGAAAACUAAAAGAUGGAAUAAACUGCUUCAAUUUGUUGUGGAGAUGGUUCCU
rnacentral:lncRNA from 1 species